AAGCCAUAAAAUUUCUCCUCUUCAAGUUUCCCGCUUACCACAAAAAAUUCGAAAAUUCCCUCCCUAAAUUCCCCCCAAAGUAAAAUUUAUCCAUCAAAAUAUCAAUUUCAUAGUCGUUUACACACCCACCGUGAAAACCCUAAAACUAGUUCGAGUGUUCGCAUAUAUCGUCAUCAUCAGAUUGCAUACACCUGGAUGAAAAACAAAUGUGCCGUUACUGAUGGUCGGUACCUUGGAGCCACACUGGACCGAAAUGGGCUACGCUUAGGUCGGUUCUGUUUUACUCACAGUGGGCGCGUUGUUAUGGCUAGUGAAGUGGGAGUUGUUGAUAUUCCAGCAGAAGACGUGUCUCGGAAUGGCAUAUGCAGCGGAUGUUAACAUGGGUAUCUGGGGGCUCAUGGCUCCAUUAAAGGAUUUUGGACUUUUGGAACACAAAUUAAGAGCUAAAGCAAGUGAAUUUGGUGAAGUUGCAUUUGCUCAUGGUAGCACUAGGAAGCUUUCUCAUGCUUGUAAAUCUCAAGAUUGAUAUGACGUUAGCAGAGAUCAUCGUUUAUUGUCUACUACCAUUCCAUUUUCUAAUGAUACGUUCUCUAUGGUGUUGACAAGUUAGGGGACUCUAUAAAUCAGAAGUACUAGCUUACAGGUGGCUUUUUGUUACUGAACGGGAUAUUAAGGGCCUACCUUAAUUACAGUGAGUUGGUUGAUGCGAUGACAACAAGCAGUAAGUGCAGAGAACUAUGAAGUGGGAAAUAUGAUUGCUUAGAAAGGGUUAACACGACGAUUAUUUUACUUGCAAACAAGAUUGUGUAAGAGAUUCACGAAUGUAUUGAAGUUUUGAGUUUCUAUUCAAACAUUUAUUGACUAUUUGUUUUGUAUGUUUGGUAUUUAGACAUAGGUUGACGCUUAUUAGACUUUUGUUUGCAAACAUUGGAAUCUUUGGAAGAUGAUUGAUUGAACUUUUUAA